ACGCUGGCGGCGUGCCUAAUACAUGCAAGUGGAACGCAUGAUUGAUACCGGAGCUUGCUCCACCAUUAAUCAUGAGUCGCGAACGGGUGAGUAACGCGUAGGUAACCUACCUCAUAGCGGGGGAUAACUAUUGGAAACGAUAGCUAAUACCGCAUAACAGUCUUUAACCCAUGUUAGAGAUUUGAAAGGGGCAAGAGCUUCACUAUGAGAUGGACCUGCGUUGUAUUAGCUAGUUGGUGAGGUAAAGGCUCACCAAGGCGACGAUACAUAGCCGACCUGAGAGGGUGAUCGGCCACACUGGGACUGAGACACGGCCCAGACUCCUACGGGAGGCAGCAGUAGGGAAUCUUCGGCAAUGGGGGGAACCCUGACCGAGCAACGCCGCGUGAGUGAAGAAGGUUUUCGGAUCGUAAAGCUCUGUUGUUAGAGAAGAACGUGUGUGAGAGUGGAAAGUUCACACAGUGACGGUAACUAACCAGAAAGGGACGGCUAACUACGUGCCAGCAGCCGCGGUAAUACGUAGGUCCCGAGCGUUGUCCGGAUUUAUUGGGCGUAAAGCGAGCGCAGGCGGUUCUGUAAGUCUGAAGUUAAAGGCAGUGGCUUAACCAUUGUACGCUUUGGAAACUGCAGGACUUGAGUGCAGAAGGGGAGAGUGGAAUUCCAUGUGUAGCGGUGAAAUGCGUAGA
rnacentral:rRNA from 1 species